rnacentral:rRNA from 1 species
AAUCAACGCUGGCGGCGUGCCUAACACAUGCAAGUCGAACGCGAAAGUGGAGCAAUCCAUGAGUAGAGUGGCAAACGGGUGAGUAAUGCAUCGGAACGUGCCCAGUCGUGGGGGAUAACGCAGCGAAAGCUGUGCUAAUACCGCAUACGAUCUGUGGACGAAAGCGGGGGACCUUCGGGCCUCGCCCGAUUGGAGCGGCCGAUGUCAGAUUAGGUAGUUGGUGGGGUAAAGGCCCACCAAGCCGACGAUCUGUAGCUGGGCUGAGAGGACGACCAGGCACACUGGGACUGAGACACGGGCCAGACUCCAACGGGAGGCAGCAGUGGGGAAUUUUGGACAAUGGGCGCAAGCCUGAUCCAGCAAUGCCGCGUGCAGGAAGAAGGCCUUCGGGUUGUAAACUGCUUUUGUACGGAGCGAAAAGGCUCCCUCUAAUACAGGGGGCUCAUGACGGUACCGUAAGAAUAAGCACCGGCUAACUACGUGCCAGCCGCCGCCGUAAGAC